CCAGUUUACCUUAACACAACAAAACUGUUAUUCUCAAGGAAUCUAGAGCAUUCAGAAAAACAAUCUUCUUCUCCCUUAUUGAUUUACUUUUCACCUGUGGGUUUUUUGUCUAUGUAGUUUCUUUUUAGGAAAAAAAUAGCAGAGAGGAGAGUCUAAGUAGCCAUCCUUCCUCUAGGAUGAGGCUCACCUCUUCCCCUCCUGCUCAGUAUCCUGCUAUCCUUCAAAGUGAAGGAGUGGUGCCUCUGAAGUCUUUGUCAUUUAGCAGCUGUGGGAAUUGAAUUCAUUUUGCCUGGUGUCAUAGACAGCCCUUCUCAUCCCAGCAGCUACAACCCCCUAAUUGUCCGGGUCUGUUCCCACCCCAACAUGCCUGAGGAAGGGCAGCCAUCGCCACUGAGACACAGUGUGACAGUGUCACCUGAGCUGUGGGACAUCAGUGCACACCCAGGCUGUGAUCUGACUCAUUCAGGGUGUGGGAUUCAGGCUUUUGCCAUGCAGAGGUUGAAUCCUGGUUUUGGAGGGAAGGGUGACCCUUCAGGCAGAGAGAAAUGAGUUUGAGCAGUGGACUGGAGACUCAGGGAGCAGCACAAUUAAGUGACCUGGAGACUGUUGUCCCUGGCCCUUUUCCAUAAAAGCACAUAAAUAUAGUUAGACAUAUGUAAGUGGAUAAUCAUUUAAUUCCUAAAUAAUGCCAGUAGCUAGGGGGUUUCAGUGGGCAUCACUUCAGUGCAGAAAGCAACUAUCCUCUAAAUCCUGAACAAACACAGUGGGACCAAAAGUGACAGUGAGCUUUAUUGUUCAAGUCCUUGAGGGAACUUUCAGCAGCUGCUAUGUUUAGUGAGAUUGGCAUGUUGAAUUUGUUCCACAGUAUAUCCUGCAAUCUGUGGAUCCUAAAUCAAUGCACUCACCUGUCCCGAGUGAAGGGACAGUCUUCAGAUGGUCACAGGAAACUUGCAGACAAAACACAUCAGUGCUUACAGGGACUUGGAGAGAUUUUCUGGGCUGCACUUCAGAGCUGGGUCCCCACAUGCCACAAGCUGCAGGGGCAUUCAGUUGCCUCCACACAGCAGAAUCUGAAGUACAUUUUGGAGCUUGAGAGGUGCCUGAAAUGCAAUGGGUAUAAGAAGAAUUACUGAGUUCUCAGCAUUAGUCCUGACUCAGGGAAAAUAUAAGGAAAAAACAGCAAAAAGGAAUAUGACAAAGAUGACAUCUUGGCAAACUCACCAAACUUAUUAUCAUCUACAGUAAAAACCUGAAAUAUCAACCAGGCAUGUAACUUUAGGUCAUUCUAUGCUAUUUUUUCUCUUGAAUUUUAGACUGUGGCCAAAUUUUACCACUUUUUUUUCCUUUAAAAUACAUGAAUAAUGUAGUCCCUCCUAUCUUCCCACUGAGCCUGUUAAACUCCCGUUACCUGUAACACAAAUGAUAGCAGCUGUCUGCCCUGGAAAUGAGCCUGGAGGUUUUUCCAUUUGACAGAAAUACUGGUACUAGUGGUAUUGCAACUUCCCUCUCCUGAAUCAUAGUACUCUCUGCUCUUAGUCUGUUUUAUGUUAUUAAAUUCAGGUUGGUUUUGUUCUUAUUUUUCAGACCCCCAACACUGGUUCCUCAGUGGAUGGUCACUGAGAUCCCUUAAAAUACAUGGUGUCCCUGUGUGUAAUUAGUGCACUCAGCAUAAUUUUGUUUUUCUCUGGCCUUAUGUACAAGUGAGACAUUUCCCCAGUGGCUGUGGUGGUACAGUGACCUCUGGUGCUGUGCUGGUGUCCAAGGGGCACUGCUGCUGCCAUUGGAAUCACCAGCAGACACUGUGUCCUCAUUGUGCCCAGAGGGAAAGAUGCUGCUCUGAGUAACCUGUGCUCUGCUAAACCGACCACAGAAAUAUCCUAGAA